rnacentral:rRNA from 1 species
UACAGAGGGUGCGAGCGUUAAUCGGAAUUACUGGGCGUAAAGCGCGCGUAGACGGUUAUGUAAGUCAGGUGUGAAAGCCCCGGGCUCAACCUGGGAAUUGCAUUUGAGACUGCAUAGCUAGGGUGCGGAAGAGGGAAGCGGAAUUUCCGGUGUAGCGGUGAAAUGCGUAGAUAUCGGAAGGAACACCAGUGGCGAAAGCGGCUUCCUGGUCCAGCACCGACGUUCAGGCACGAAAGCGUGGGGAGCAAACAGG